GACGUAGGGCGCGAGCGUUGUCCGGAUUUAUUGGGCGUAAAGAGCGUGUAGGCGGCCAAACAGGUCCGUUGUGAAAACUGGAGGCUUAACCUCCAGACGUCGACGGAAACCGUAUGGCUAGAGUCCGGAAGAGGCGAGUGGAAUUCCUGGUGUAGCGGUGAAAUGCGCAGAUAUCAGGAGGAACACCGAUUGCGAAGGCAGCUCGCUGGGACGUAACUGACGCUGAGACGCGAAAGCGUGGGGAGCAAACAGG
rnacentral:rRNA from 1 species